rnacentral:lncRNA from 1 species
UAUGAAGGGACAAUUUCCCACAAAGGCCUGUUUAGAAAAUGAGCCCUUUCCGACUUCGAAGCUCAAGUUUAGACUACAUUACCAUCAAGGCCACUAAUGAUAAGAUUUAAUGGACACUUAAAAACAUUCUCUUAGAUAAAAGCCACUAUAAAUGUUUUCAGAAAAUUCAAGGGAAUUCAACCCUCGUGGUCUUUGUUGCUUUUAAAUUGAUAAUCUCUGGAACAGUGAGAAAGUGUUCUAUGACUACAGCCCUGUCAGGAUCGCAUUUUAAAGAAGAAUAGGGACGUUUGGAAGACAAUGGCAAGCUGGGAGCUUUACUGACAUCCUCAUCAUGGCCCAUGAGAAAAUAUCAACAAAAUAGUACUUAAACCAUCUAUUUCUUGGACUCCACUGUUACGAUCAUGUACCAAAUGAAGAUAUCAGGAGAAAGCCAGUAUCUGAGAUGUUUGAAAGAGGAUAAAACACUGACGAAGCAGUUAUCCCGGAUUUCACUCCGACCAGCACACAGAAAUCAGUUGCUCUAACUGAAAUGAGAUUCUACAGGAAAAUGUACAGUCACUUUAAGGGUCAUUAUUAUCAAACACUAUCAAAGACUCUCAAACACUUGAUUAUCUCUGAAGAGAUCU